GGCACCGUCUGCACGAUCCAAACAACAAUGGCUGCCGACAUUAAACACGACCACGCGAGAGCUGGAGUAUUUUCUAUUUUGAAGACCUGGCCACCGGGGUAGUUAAAGAAAAAAGAAAAUCUGCUGCAGUGAUUUCUAGUUAAAAGAAAAUGUAUUCACCUUCUAAAAUAUCUUCUCCUUCCUUGUGUACACCCAUGUGAGGUGUGGGUGUAUUCACGAGUACACCCUUUUUCCCUCCUGGUUGAUUCAACUCUUCAGCAGAUGGAUGAAGCACUUGUGGAUGGAUGCCUGGCUGUAUUUCCCAGGCUUAAAGGUUAAUCCUCACGAAAAGAGCUUGAAGGGACAAUGUCCGAAUCGCUUGGGACAGCCUCGUCAAUUGGCCGUCCGGUCCCGCCUUCGGCCCGAUUGCGAUCCGCCGCCGUAGUGGAACUGGAAAUCAAGCGGCUGGUCCAGCCGACGCCGAGCUGCGUUGCCCACAUACCCGAGACCCUCUCUACGUUGUCACGACGGACAGCAUCAUUUCAACGAAUUCAAAUAAUCACCCGAGCUGUCCCAACCUCUUUACUGGUCCAGGGUUCAUCCGUUGAAAGCCCUGGCCUCCUAUUCCUGCCAGCAUCCGCUUCACCCCCCAACACGGCUCAAUUGGCAGCCGUUUGAUGCCCAACUCGUAUCCGUCGUACACCUGGGUUGCAUCGUCGAGUUCAUCAAAGUGCUGGCCCAGAAAUCGCAGCUAGCCGCCCACGAGCUCAUUUUGAACUUGCAGACCGACUACAAGUUCACGACGACAAAGAUCACAUCAAAGAUGACGACCUCUACGACACACUAGAGAGUCUGAUUGAAUUCACAUUCGGUACUUUCCUCUCCGGCCCGGCCAAAUGGUUUUACGAGUGCGAAUUCGACUUUUUUGAGGGGGAGAUCAUGGUCGUUUCCGGCGACAUUCGACCAUUUUCCAAAGGUGCCGAGGUGGCCGAGCGCAAGAAAGCCUGUCUGGAAAAUUUUUCCAAAAGAUCACUAGCCGGGCUGCUGCUUGCCGUCCAAUCCCGCAGCGCUGGUCAUGGACUGGAUAUAGAAUAAAACAACGGGACGCUGAGGCCCGGCUGAGGCAGAUUGCUGCCAAUUAUUGACCAAGAUUGCCCCGUAUUGGGCUGCAGAUUGCUGGAACUGGAACACGGCGGUCUCACCAGCGACUGCGAACCUUCGUCUGCGGCGGCGCCCAGUAACGGCGACAACCAAAAAUCCAGCGGCCAAGAAGAAAACAGCAAUCUGGUCUCUCAAGUGCUCAUUUUUCAAAAUCUGCGAUAAAGUCCGUCAAGACAUGCUGGCUGUCUUCAGGUUUGCCAAUCAAUUUUCCAGCAUUUUGAUUCGUUGAUGUUACAAUUGUGAAAAUUGAGAAAUUGUGUUUCCAGGUCAUUUUGCUGUUUAAAAACAUUUUCCAGCAAAUGAAUUUGUUUCUCUUCCCUUGCCCGGCUGCAGUCAUCUAGUGCUCUCCCAACGAACCUGAAAUCCCACCCACCAACUAGGCCGCCAAAUAAACAUCACGGUCGUUUCCGGCGUUCUUCCGUUACCGAGUGGUGGCCACUUCGUCCGGCUGCAGAGUUAUCCAGUGCGUUUCCAACCCGAAAUCCUGCGACUAGCUCGGCCGCCAAACAGAUGUCAGCAACUUCAACGACUAUUUCAUCAACAAAUACGGUGACGAGGUGACAUGAGUUCCAGACAGUCAGGCGCAAUAUUACACGCUCCACGGCUGCCUACUCUCUGGUCGGUUUCUUCCUACAGAUCAAGGAUCGCCACUAUGGCAACACAUGAUCGAAGGCUAUAAGGGCAUCACAUUAUUCACAUCGAUUUUGGCAUCAUGUUUGAAGUUCCCCCGGUGGCAAUUUAGGAUUCGAGCCGGACAUGUAUCGCGAGGUCCAUCAUUGUGUCUCUUGUCUGGUUGAUGCCCGACACCCGACAGCCCCGCUUACGGGAGGAGACCCUCAUGUUCCUGUAGUCCCGUUUCUUGCACAUGGACGACCGCGAAGCCGCCAACCAGCAAACCACAAUCAACAUUGUCCGCUCGUUGUUACUCAACAUCCUUACCAGAACCUAAACGUCAGGAAAUUAUAUGAUUUGAAGGACUCAUUUGCUUUACUUGUAAAUUGAUAGAGCAUAUAGGUUUUUUUUUAAUGUAAUGUGUUUCACUAUUCCCUGUUGUACGUCGUUUGUUGAGUCUGAUUUGAUAAGUCAAUAGAAACAAGCCUUUGAUGAGA